UCAACACAAAAUAUGCUUGGGUGGAAAUUCUUUUCUCUGAAUCUUCUGCUCAGCCUGAAAACUUGAUUUUGAUAGAAGAGGAAGAAUUUUGCCUGGUUUUCUUGGCUUGAUUGAUUUGGUGAGCUGAAAGAAAGACACUGCUUCAUCAGAAUUCAAACAACAGAAAACAUCUCCCAGGCCCCCUAGAAGAUGCCAAUCAAAAUAAACUGCAUUCUUGAGACACAGGGCAAGAAAUUAAAGCUAUCCACCUCCUCAAGGCCCAGGGACUACGUGGAAGAGACAUCGAGUCAUGAAUAUGGAAUGACUUCACCUGACUUCACUUGAAAUUCACUUAAUUUUCAACUCUGUUGGCUAUGAGAAAAGGACAUCCAGGCCUCACACAAAAAUGGAUCAAUGAAUUGAAACUCACCAAAUCACCACCACCAGACAACGGGAUGCUGAGUCUCAUUCAUCAUGAUUGCUUCCUGAAGCCUUCUGAGUUCCUGUUUCCCUACACAUUGUUACAUUUCUUCCCUGCAACAUAAACCCCCAAUUUUAGUCCAUCAAGGUUAUAGAUUUGAGACUGAUCUCCCAUUUCCUUGGCUGCAACACCCAAUUAUAGCCUUCUUGGCAAUAAUUGUUGUCUCAGUGAUUGGCUUUCUUUGUGGCCAGCAGCAGGACCUAGACUGAACACCUGAUUUUCUGGUCUCUCAAAACAGAAUUUUGGCUUUUCCAGAUUGGCAAAUAGCUCUUAGUUAAAUGUGGCUUUCAAGUAUGUGUUUACUCCUUUAUGUUUCAAUUUUCCUUCAAUUUUGGCCUGGAGAGUGUCUCAACUAAGAAGCUAAAAAGGGAAAGAAAAGAAAAGCAGUUAUGUUUUUUUCCCCUCCGGCCUAUACAAACACAUACACACCAAGGUGAGA
rnacentral:lncRNA from 10 species